GCAUGUGGAUGAGAAGCCCCUUGUGACCAAUAACUUGCUUUCCCUUCUUCUUCUUGGAACGUGAAUAGUAAAAUUCUUAGAUUUUUAUCAUUGUUUUAAUCUGCUUGCAUUGAUAACCUUGUGGAUGUAAGCUGAUUGAUUUUGCAUAGGGUUACCAUCUCCUUACCCUACUUAGAACUUCUUUUUUCCUUAAAAAAAAAAAUAAAAAUUUUGUUUUUCUAUGAUGUGGUGGGCAUAUUUUAGUUCUCAACCAAAAAUCCAACAGUAUGUGUUGCGUGUGUAUUAUAUAUGAAAAAGUGACAUCAUUUGGCUGGGUGCCUGAUGUUUGUUUUAUUAUAUUUGAAGAUGAUCCAAGAGUGGUCUGAAUCAUCUGAUGCUUGUCCCACUUUUUAGUCUGUGGUAGCAACUAUCCUUUGAAGAACAAGGAUGUAGUAGUGAACAAUCUUUGGGAGUUUUUUAAAAAAAAAAAAAAGGCUCUGCUGGACAUCCUGAUUGGUUGACUUUAUCUGUCACAUUUUGAUGUGGAAAGAUAUUUCUAAUCUAUCUAUAAGUUUUCUGAGACUGAUGCAAUAUAUUUUUAACCUAUUGUCUAACUGCAUUUUGUUAGUUGUUGUAUGAUAUAUCUAUUUUAAAGUGUUGGAUUAUUAGGUAGGUUGUUAAGUUAAAGGCAUGCUUCUUAUCAGUGCAUCUAUGAUGUUACCUCCUUACAAAAUAGAUUUAUUCAAGGUUCUAAUUGACUUCAUGAGUCCAUGAAUGUGGUACCCAUUGGCAGUAUUAAGUUUUGGUUGUCAUUGCAUAAUGCAUAUGGUUAAGUGAGAAUUCUAUUUACUUCUUUGCUUUCCGAUCCAUUAUACAUAUAAAUUGUUCUAACAAUCAAUAUGGAAAACUAAAUUAGGUGGUCUCUCUCUCUCUCUCUCU
rnacentral:misc_RNA from 1 species